rnacentral:lncRNA from 1 species
GUGCAAUUAGAAAUGUCUUUACUAUUUCCAUAAAUCACUGUAAAUGUAAAAUUAUUGUCAUGAUUUUUAGCUCACCUGUCCCGAAGGGACAAGUGAGCUUAUGCCAUCACUUGGCGUCCGUCGUCGUCUGUCGUCCGUCGUCCGUCGUCUGUCGUCGUAAACUAUUUCAAGAAUCUUCUCCUCUGAAACUACUGGGCCAAAUACUUUCAAACUUUAACUGAAUGUUCCUUAGGGUAUCUUAUUUAUAAAUUGUAUCCGAAGUUUUGAUCUAUCAACAAACAUGGUCGCCAUUGCUAAAAAUAGAACAUAGGGGUCAAAUGCAGUUUUUGGCUUAUAACUCAAAAACCAAAGCAUUUAGAGCAAAUCUGACAUGGGGU